rnacentral:rRNA from 1 species
ACUGCUCAGUAACACGUGGACAACCUACCCAAGAGUCCGGGAUAACCCCGGGAAACUGGGGAUAAUACCGGAUAGAUCAAACUUGCUGGAAGGCUGUUUGGUUGAAACUUCCGGGGCUUUUGGAUGGGUCUGCGGCUGAUUAGGUUGUUGCCGGUGUAACGUACUGUCAAGCCUGUAAUCAGUACGGGUUGUGGGAGCAAGAGCCCGGAGAUGGAUUCUGAGACACGAAUCCAGGCCCUACGGGGCGCAGCAGGCGCGAAAACUCUACAAUGCAGGCAACUGCGAUAGGGGAACAUCGAGUGAUCCUCAUAUUGGGGGUCUGUCCACCCGUCUAAAAAACGGGUGUUAGCAAGGGCCGGGCAAGACCGGUGCCAGCCGCCGCGGUAAUACCGGCGGCUCGAGUGGUGGCCGAUAUUAUUGAGUCUAAAGGGUCCGUAGCCGGCUUUGCAAGUCUCUCGGGAAAUCCAGCGGCUUAACCGUUGGUCGUCCGGGGGGUACUACAUUGCUUGGGACUGGGAGAGGUAGGAGGUACUCAGGGGGUAGGAGUGAAAUCCUGUAAUCCUCUGGGGACCACCGGUGGCGAAGGCGUCCUACCAGAACAGGUCCGACGGUGAGGGACGAAAGCUAGGGGCACGAACCGGAUUAGAUACCCGGGUAGUCCUAGCCGUAAACGAUGCUCGCUAGGUGUCACAACAGUCGUGAACUGUUGUGGUGCCGUAGGGAAGCCGUGAAGCGAGCCACUUGGGAAGUACGACCGCAAGGUUGAAACUUAAAGGAAUUGGCGGGGGAGCAC